CAUCUGUGGAUGGGGGCAGCCAUCUUCUUGACCUCAGCAUGACCUGCAGGUCAAAGGUCGAACUGAACCAACAUGGCGGCGUUUUCAAACAAUUUUGUUGAGUAAGCAUGUUCUUCAGGAAAAGCUGUGCAGAAUCCUGUUGAACACACCUGUCAACCAUGGCUCCCAUCUGUCAGCACAGAGGUGGAAGUGUCGGUUGUGGUUGCCUUGCCGUGUGCGGAAUAUCUGGGCAGGUGAAGGAACAAUUACCGGACCUGUUGUGCACAGCUCCUGCCCAGGUCAUCCCAGAAAUACGCCAUUGUGUCACAGGGACAGAGUUUUAAGCCCAUGAUUUGAUGAGAAUGACCCCAGACCACCCUCGGUGAGGAUAUCAAGGAUUCGGCAGUGAAAUCUACAGAGCUGUAAAAGAUUUACAGUUGUGUGUCUGUACCAUCCACCCAUCAUUAUGCCAGGAUGAUAUAGCAGCGUGCUGAGUAACAAAAUAGACUUCCGGUCGUAGUCAGAGGAUGCGGUGUCUCCACAGAGACGAGCUGCGCAGGUAUGUGGUGAAUCUUGCCGGAAGGUGCAGCUCGCUCCGCCCAGUUUGAGGGAGAGUCAUCAUUCCUCGCCCCACCGGGUCCUCACCUCUGUGUGCCAGCCUUCCACAGCGCUGCCUCACCGAGUUCCGGUGUCAGGCUUUGUUCUACCAGCUGCAGAUUCCUAAGGGUUGAGAAACUACCAGGGACUGCUGGCCCAACACAUCCAGCAAACAGCAGCCCACUUCGUACAUGUACAUGUUAAAGAUUGCUGGGUUAUAUUUGUCCUGAAAUUUCAAUUAUUUUACUGUUCAGAAAGUUUUGUGAAAACGUCUAAUCAGACCUAGCCUUUGUAAACCUGCAUUAGCUGAACUAUUUUGCUAUACGUACAUCUGUUGUAUGUUGUACGUUGUUACAUAAGAAUCUUAUUUCUUUAUGGUCCCCUCAUGAAUAUAUUGAUUUGUCAGUACUGGUGCUGACUGUUUGACAGGUAGACCAGGAUUUGGCCAUCAGUGUCCUGUUUAUGUACGUCAGAGCGCUCCUGUGUACCAAACAAAUCACAACUACCUUACAUUGAUGGGAGAAAACUUAAUUGGAAUGGGCCAGUGCUUUUCUCACCACUAAAGCAAUGUCCUCAAAACCUUUCCUAGGCAUUACAACUGGCCCUUCAUGUCUCUUUGUUGUCCGAUAUUGUCUGAUAAAAGUGAAGGAUUAGAGAAUGUUGAAAAGCCUUGAUUGCCAGCAACAGAUAUUUGUACUUCUUAAGUCUGUUGCUCAGCAUGAAAAAUUUCAAUAGCAUGUCUUUACUUAAGUCCAUACAGGUGGCUAGUAAAAAAUGUUUACGCAGCUGUCUAUAUUAUAAUAUGCAUUUAAAAGUUUAAAAGCAUUUGUCCAAUUGUUCUGCAAUAUCAUUGACAAUGCAACAUCACCAUAGCCUGGUAUCCUUUCUUAUCAUAGCUACUGGGCCUCACCUUUGCAAAGGAACGAAAGAGACCCAAUAGGUACUAUUGAGAUGGAUGCCAGGCUAACAUCAUUGAUAAACAUGAACAUAUGUAAUCAAAUGUUGAUCUUUCUGUAGUAUUUUUGCAGAUAGCAGAGUGAGCAUCCAGACAGCAAACUACCUCAGGAUUUGACAAAAAAUUAGGAGAUAGCUAUCUCGACGCCCAAAAUCUAAAUUUUCUUAUUUCGCUACGUUUGACGUUUGUGAUCAACACGUUUGCAGAGUCAUUAUUUACAGGAACCCCAGUCACCUUAUCUCAUAACAAAUAUUUUGGACACCUUUUGAGUCAAGUUACUUUGCGGCAUCAUACAAGUUCUCAGAGGAAUUUCAAAGGGCGACAGGGUAGAAUGCGCGGUGCGAUUCUGUUUCAACGGAUUUCUUCAGAAACCCCCUGCAGGUCCGACUCUUGCUUUCAGCCCCCAUCAGUUGGUCCCGUCUUACAAAAUGCCUUUUCUCCAAAAUCAUAAAGUGUGACUUUGUUGGGCUGUGGGCCAGCUGCCAAGUGGAUAUUUGCGUAAUUGAUCUUGUGAAUGAGUGGUCGGAGUCAUUGUCUGACAUGCAUGCCGGGUGAGUGGUCCCCGCAUGAGGGCAACGGGUCAGGUAUUGAUACGUUUUGCCUGAACUUCACAUUGCUUUGAUCUCCCGCCAGUUGUACACCUUGCUGGCCACGGUGAAACCUAUCCUGCUGCCCAGCGUAAUGGAGACGUCCGCCACAGAACAGGUAGAUUGGCCGGCAGACUGUCAAGUCUACCAGGAAAAUGACCUUACACGUGCUCGUCACAAGCAAAGAUAUAUGAAUUCGCUAUGUUCCUGCCUAUUUCUUUGUAAAUUUGGGCAGGGAAGUCUGACACGUUUCACUGAUACAGUGAUACCCUGAACAUGUGUGGACAAACCUUACCAAAAUAUUUAUUACAAUCACCAACGAGACACCAGGUAUUCAGGUACACCUGCACCCAUCCACCCCAAUAUACAAUUUCCUACUGUCAUGAUACCAUCACAGAAGUUGCUUUAAUCAUGCAAGGUAUGACAUUUGUUUCAUUUGUAUUCUUCAUAGCAUAGCCUCUCCGUAUUGUGUUUCUUGUGUGAUACAAGCAAGGUUCAGUGACAAUGAACUGCGGCAGUGUGCAUACGCUGACCCGGGUCACAAUGGGAGGCGGCCCAUCUAAGGUAUAUUGAUGUUGGUGAGGGUUAAGGUUUCACCCUCCGAACAACAGGCUGAGUGGCACACCCGUUGUCACAAGAGUAUCAUUUUGGAGUUAAGUAAAUCCACUUGCUCCCAGUGUUGACAUUUGAGGUUUGCUCUAUUUCUGACCUUUCUGCUGUGCAUUCCUUCCCAUUCCAAGGUGGAGAUCUGUGCAUACCUGUUUUUACCCCUUCAGAAGGUUACAUUUUGUGAAACCUGGCUGUUAUAAGAUGUCAUUUUCUUUGUAGUUGAUGUUGUUUUCUUUCCAAUUCUCUUCAAAUGUUGCCUUGAAACUAAAUAAAUGCAAUUUUUAACAGUAA